rnacentral:rRNA from 1 species
UACGUAGGGGGCGAGCGUUGUCCGGAAUUAUUGGGCGUAAAGAGCGUGUAGGCGGUCCGGUAAGUCCGCUGUGAAAGUCCAGGGCUCAACCCUGGAAUGCCGGUGGAUACUGCCGGGCUAGAGUUCGGAAGAGGCGAGUGGAAUUCCCGGUGUAGCGGUGAAAUGCGCAGAUAUCGGGAGGAACACCAAUGGCGAAGGCAGCUCGCUGGGACGUUACUGACGCUGAGACGCGAAAGCGUGGGGAGCAAACAGG